rnacentral:rRNA from 1 species
GGGCCCGCACAAGCGGUGGAGCAUGUGGUUUAAUUCGAUGAUACGCGAGGAACCUUACCAGGGCUUAAAUGUAGUGGGACAGGUCUAGAGAUAGACCCUUCUUCGGACUCAUUACAAGGUGCUGCAUGGUUGUCGUCAGCUCGUGCCGUGAGGUGUCAGGUUAAGUCCUAUAACGAGCGCAACCCCUAUCUCUAGUUGCCAGCGAGUAAUGUCGGGGACUCUAGAGAAACUGCCUACGCAAGUAGAGAGGAAGGCGGGGACGACGUCAAGUCAUCACGGCCCUUACGUCCUGGCCACACACGUGCUACAAUGGUCGGUACAGAGGGCAGCUACCGGGUGACCGGAUGCG